GGGCCCGUGGUGUAGCGGAAACACGCCGCCUUCGCAAGGCGGAGAGCGGGGGUUCGAAUUUAAGAAACUCCCCCCGGGUCCACCA
rnacentral:tRNA from 1 species